AGCUUUAAAGAAGGACAAUAGAAGGAGAAAUAUCCCUCAAAUGAUGGAGAGGAAAUGGUCAUGAGAAGGCCAGCCCUACCGGAAAGCCCUGCUUUAAAAGAAGGAAUUAUUCAGACUAAAGGAGUGGUUUUCCUAAGCAACCAGAUCAAAGUGAAAACUCUCAGAAUAGCUCACUUACAGGUUUCCUUUUGCACACAGGUUCAUCAAGAGUGUCAGGCACUUGGUGGGCAGUUCAUACUCCUCUGACAAACUACAAUUUGGUGGGAAACUUCACAAGAACCCACGGUAUCACAUCUGUAAAUUCAUGGAGUGCCCUGCAUUUGACUUCUGCUGUCCUUCAUGUCCUCUACACAAAAGAUACUCAUUUAAUGAAAAGCAUGUUGCUAGUUCCUUUAGUGCAAUCCAGAGUUGCGCCUGGGUCACUUAGAACUGUAGCUUCUGCUGAUGUGAAGACUUCCUGCUCACAGAUAACACGACAUGAGGCCCUACUUGCUCCAGAGCCUGAUUGGCGUGGAUCUCCCGGUACACAGAAAGGCAAAGCUGUCUGAAAAUAGAGAAAGAGGAAGAGACUGCAAAAUCUACCAAACAAAUAUGAAGAAACUGUUUUUGAAAGUAAUUUAGGGAGAUGAAGAGCACGCUUAGAAAACAUGGGCAUGACACACAUACAGCAGUAAAUUCAGAUCCACCUAAAUGGGCUUUGAGCAGGACUUUGGCAUUCUCAACCUGGGAUUCAGGUGUUGGCCUGAGAUUGGUGGCAUGUUACGUACACCUCUGACAAGGUUAGCAGGAUGUUCCAGAUAUGUUUAUGCUACACAGCAUUGCCAUGAUCCUUGCCUGAGGGGGAAGACAUACAUGAAAUAAGGAGCCCUGAAAAGAAGAGGACAUAGGAGCUGUGAGGCUCAGGAGGACAUAAGCAUGCUGGACCAGGAAGAUGAUGAGGGAGCAAGGACACCAGCUAGUGUUCCCUGAGCCCCCUGAUUCUCAGAGACAGUCUGACAGUCAAGACAAGAUCACUGAAACUGCAACUUUUUCUGAGCAGGACCUUGAAGCUACACAGAGCGCUCCACUGAUUCCAAGCCCAGAGAUCUACCCAUGCUAAAUAAUUUGCAGGAUUGGGGCCUAAAGUCUGUUUAAUAAUGAAAGCCUCCAGUGCCUACAUACAAGUCUUUUUCAAGAGCAUUUAAAAAGAAAUCAAAGUGAAAUAUGGCAUUAUCUACUUGGACGUAGAGAAGUGCCCAAAAGACACUGAUCAUAUCUCAGCAUAUGACUUUAAAAAUGCUCACAUUCUACCCAUGCAGUCAAUUGCGAGUAAGAUUUUCUUCAAAGUUGAUCAAUAGCAGAUGCAAAUAAUUUAAAAAUGAGACCGUCCUGUUAAUACUAUGAGCCAAAGCAGGAAGAAAUGGAAAAACCCAGUUUAUGCUUUCUAAAUCACUUAUCCAUGUUUUACCAGCCUUUAUCAGAGUUUGUACACUUGCUCCAAUUAAAUUAUUUUUCUUCAGGGAAGCUUGCGAGGCACUUACAUAAAUUCUCUUAAUUUCUAAGUAAUGCAGUCCUGACAAUCACUUAAGACAAGAUAGUUGAUACUGCUGUCAGGAAAGACUCUUUUUCAAAAGAAUGUUUUUAUAGAAUAUCAUUGUGACACUUUGCUCAGAUGGAUGUCUUUAGCAGAAUUUGAUUAAUGUAAUGUAAUAAAAGAGAUGCACACUAAAGUGUCUGUACAUG